UACGUAGGGUGCAAGCGUUGUCCGGAAUUAUUGGGCGUAAAGAGCUCGUAGGCGGUCUGUCGCGUCGGCUGUGAAAUCCCGAGGCUCAACCUCGGGUCUGCAGUCGAUACGGGCAAACUGGAGUGUUGCAGGGGAGACUGGAAUUCCUGGUGUAGCGGUGAAAUGCGCAGAUAUCAGGAGGAACACCGGUGGCGAAGGCGGCUCUCUGGGCCUUACCUGACGCUGAGGAGCGAAAGCGUGGGUAGCGAACAGG
rnacentral:rRNA from 1 species